rnacentral:rRNA from 1 species
AGCGAACGCUGGCGGCAGGCCUAAUACAUGCAAGUCGAGCGGGUGUAGCAAUACACCAGCGGCAGACGGGAGAGUAACACGUGGGAACGUGCCAUUCAGUUCGGAACAACCCAGGGAAAAUUGGGCUAAUAGCGGAUACGUCCGUAAGGAGAAAGAUUUAUCGCUGAAGGAUCGGCCCGCGUCUGAUUAGCUUGUUGGUGAGGUAAUGGCUCACCAAGACGACGAUCAGUAGCUGGAGUGAGAGGAUGAUCAGCCUAACUGGGACUGAGACACGGCCCAGACUCCUGCGGGAGGCGGCAGUAGGCAAUCGUGAACACGGGGCGCAAGCCGGAUCCAGCCAUGCCGCGUGGGUGAUGAAGGCCAUAGGGUUGUAAAGCCCUUUCGGCGGGGAAGAUAAUGACGGUACCCGCAGAAGAAGCCCCGGCUAACUUCGUGCCAGCAGCCGCGGUAAUAC